rnacentral:misc_RNA from 1 species
GAGGAAGAACGUAGCGAAAUGCGAUAAGUAGUGUGAAUUGCAGAAUUCAGUGAAUCAUCGAAUCUUUGAACGCACAUUGCGCCCCUUGGUAUCCCGAGGGGCAUGCCUGUUCGAGCGUCAUUUCACCACUCAAGCCUGGCUUGGUGUUGGGCGACGUCCCCUUUGGGGACGCGCCUCGAAACGCUCGGCGGCGUGGCACCGGCUUUAAGCGUAGCAGAAUCUUUCGCUUUGGAAGUCGGGGCCCCGUCUGCCGGAAGACCUACUCGCAAGGUUGACCUCGGAUCAGGCAGGGAUACCCGCUGAACUUAAGCAUAUCAAUAAGCGGAGGA